UACCAGACUCCUACGGGAGGCAGCAGUGGGGAAUAUUGCACAAUGGGGGAAACCCCGAUGCAGCAACGCCGCGUGAGUGAAGAAGUAUUUCGGUAUGUAAAGCUCUCUCAGCAGGGAAGAGAAUGACGGUACCUGACUAAGAAGCCCCGGCUAACUACGUGCCAGCAGCCGCGGUAAUACGUAGGGGGCAAGCGUUAUCCGGAUUUACUGGGUGUAAAGGGGGCGCAGACGGCGAUGCAAGCCAGGAGUGAAAGCCCGGGGCCCAACCCCGGGACUGCUCUUGGAACUGCGUGGCUGGAGUGCAGGAGGGGCAGGCGGAAUUCCUGGUGUAGCGGUGAAAUGCGUAGAUAUCAGGAGGAACACCGGUGGCGAAGGCGGCCUGCUGGACUGCAACUGACGUUGAGGCCCGAAAGCGUGGGGAGCAAACAGGAUUAGAUACCCCUGUACC
rnacentral:rRNA from 1 species